UACGAAGGGUGCAAGCGUUACUCGGAAUCACUGGGCGUAAAGCGUGCGUAGGCGGUUUCUUAAGUCUGUCGUGAAAGCCCUGGGCUCAACCUGGGAAUGGCGAUGGAUACUGGGAGGCUAGAGUGUGAUAGAGGAUGGUGGAAUUCCCGGUGUAGCGGUGAAAUGCGUAGAGAUCGGGAGGAACACCAGUGGCGAAGGCGGCGAUCUGGGUCGAUACUGACGCUGAGGUGCGAAAGCGUGGGGAGCGAACAGG
rnacentral:rRNA from 1 species